GAUGAACGCUGGCGGCGUGCCUAAUACAUGCAAGUCGAGCGAACGGACCAGAAGCUUGCUUCUCUGAUGGUAGCGGCGGACGGGUGAGUAACACGUGGAUAACCUACCUAUGAGACUGGUAUAACUUUGGGAAACCGUAGCUAAUACGGGAUAAUAUUUUGAACCUCAUGGUUCAAGAGUGAAAUACGGUCGUUCGGUCACUUAUAGAUGGAUCCGCGCUGCAUUAGCUAGUUGGUAAGGUAACGGCUUACCAAGGUAACGAGGGAAAGCCGACCUCAGAGGGUGAUUCGCCACCCUGGAACUGAGACACGGCACCGACACCUGCGGGAGGACGCAGUCGAGACUCCUACGCAAUGGGGGAAAGGCUAACGUAGCGCCACGGCGGAAGUGCUGACGGUGCUAGGCCGGGAGAACUCUGUUAUUCGGGGAGAACUAAUGUUCUAGCACCUGUGCCGAUAUUGACGGUACCUAAACAAGAAGCCCCGGCUAACUACGUG
rnacentral:rRNA from 1 species